rnacentral:rRNA from 1 species
AUGGUGGCUUGUAGGCGGAUGUGUCUCACACCUAAGUUUUUGCCGCUGGACCGUGGUUACAUUCAUCCUAGCUUGGAGGCAACGGUGUGGGUGGGUAUGCAUGUGCAAGGCGAAGAAGUGGACGAAGGCCAAAGAAGCAAUCUCUGCCUCCCUAUCGCUGCGUCCUGCUCCUCAAUAUGUCACCUUAGUCAUGGCCGCCUUAUCCCUCAUGCUGCUGAUUUGAAUCUGCCCUACUCUUCUUCUCCUAGACUGCUCGAGCGCUUCAGCGGGUGCCUUGCCGACGACAGGGAAGGAAGGACCAGAAAGCCACGAAAUUGA